AUCGGUUGGGGACAACAGAUGGAAACGUCUGCUAAUACCGAAUGUGCCGAGAGGUGAAAGCUUUAGUGCCUAUAGAUGAGCUCGCGUCCGAUUAGCUAGUUGGUGAGGUAAGAGCUUACCAAGGCGACGAUCGGUAGCUGGUCUGAGAGGAUGAUCAGACACACUGGGACUGAGACACGGC
rnacentral:rRNA from 1 species